UACCAGACUCCACGAGAGUGCUCUGUUUU
rnacentral:piRNA from 1 species